UACGGAGGGUGCGAGCGUUGUCCGGAAUCACUGGGCGUAAAGGGCGCGUAGGCGGCAGGCCAAGCGUGCGGUGAAAGUCCGGGGCUCAACCCCGGAUCUGCCGUGCGGACUGGUUUGCUAGAGCACUGUAGAGGCGAGUGGAAUUCCGGGUGUAGCGGUGGAAUGCGUAGAGAUCGGGAAGAACAUCGGUGGCGAAAGCGCUCUACUGGACCGCAACUGACACUCAGGGACGAAAGCUAGGGGAGCGAAUGGG
rnacentral:rRNA from 1 species